GGUCCCUAUCCUCUGCAGCCGGAGGAAACUUGAGAAAAUCUGUCCCUAGUACGAGAGGACCGGGAUGGACGCAGCUCUCGUGUGCCAGUUGUCCUGCCAAGGGCAUUGCUGGUUAGCGACCUGCGGACGGGAUAAGCGCUGAAAGCAUCUAAGUGCGAAGCCCUUUUCUAGAUGAGGUUUCCCACUGGGUUAACCAGGUAAGGCCCGUGAUAGACCAACACGUUGAUAGGCCGGAGGUGUACGCGUGGCAACACGUUCAGCCGACCGGUACUAAUCGGCCGAGGGCU
rnacentral:rRNA from 1 species